CAGGUNUGUGAUGCCCUUAGAUGUUNUGGGCUGCACGCGCGCUACACUGAUGCGUUCAACGAGUUUAUAACCUUGCCCGAAAGGGUUGGGUAAUCUUUUGAAAACGCAUCGUGAUGGGGAUAGAUUAUUGCAAUUAUUAAUCUUCAACGAGGAAUUCCUAGUAAGCGCGAGUCAUCAGCUCGUGCUGAUUACGUCCCUGCCCUUUGNACAC
rnacentral:rRNA from 1 species